rnacentral:ncRNA from 1 species
AACUGGCUUGUGGCGGACGAGAGUUCCUAGCUGUCUGUCAGUUUGCGUUCGAUGUCGGCUCUCCCUGAUAUUUUGCCGCAAUUCUUGGGGUUUUGCACUGUUCACUCACUGAAAUGAAACGUGAGUUGGGUUUAGACCGCCGUGAUACAUGUU